rnacentral:rRNA from 1 species
CCUCGGGAGGCAGCAGUGAGGAAUAUUGGACAAUGGACGAAAGUCUGAUCCAGCCAUGCCGCGUGCAGGAUGACGGCCCUAUGGGUUGUAAACUGCUUUUAUACAGGAAGAAACACCCCCACGCGUGGGGGCUUGACGGUACUGUACGAAUAAGGAUCGGCUAACUCCGUGCCAGCAGCCGCGGUAAUACGGAGGAUCCAAGCGUUAUCCGGAAUUAUUGGGUUUAAAGGGUCCGCAGGCGGUCUAUUAAGUCAGAGGUGAAAUCUUGCAGCUUAACUGUAAAAUUGCCUUUGAUACUGGUAGACUUGAGUCAUUGUGAAGUGGUUAGAAUGUGUGGUGUAGCGGUGAAAUGCAUAGAUAUCACACAGAAUACCGAUUGCGAAGGCAGAUCACUAACAAUGUACUGACGCUCAUGGACGAAAGCGUGGGGAGCGAACAGGAUUAGAUACCCUGGUAGUCCACGCCGUAAACGAUGGAUACUAACUGUUCGGCCUUAGGGUUGAGUGGUUAAGCGAAAGUGAUAAGUAUCCCACCUGGGGAGUACGCUCGCAAGAGUGAAACUCAAAGGAAUUGACGG